UCAAUGCUCCCCUAUAAUAGCUCAAUUAUCACCAAACUGUAUUAAGGUGGUUUACGGGUUAAUUUAAUAGAGGGUUAUCAUUCUUUUCCUACUUUAUGCUCAAAACCCCAAUCACUAACCUAACAUGUAAAGCAUGAAUGGCGUGCAUAAAGAAUGUCAAGUAUUACAUCAACAAGUAUUGGCCAAUUUAUUUAGCACUAUGUCCACAGUUUGUAAAUUAUACCAGUCCAAUAAUAAUAUCAUAGCUAGCAAGGUUAUCAAGCUCACACAAGCAUGCAAGAAAGGAAUUAAAACAAACUGAAAAAAUUGCAAUUUUUUUCUUACACACAUCAAGCACACAUUAUGCAAUAAUGGAACACAGAUAAUGAUGAACACAUAGAAAGAUUUAAAAUUAUGUCACCCCUCAAACUUAGUUAAUAC
rnacentral:lncRNA from 1 species